rnacentral:lncRNA from 1 species
GCGGUCUCCGACACUCCUCAGAGCCAUCUCCCGCAGCAUUUCCUGCAGCAUUUCCUGCAGCGUUUCCCCUGCAGCGUUUCCCGCAGUCUCCGCCGCCACUCGGACCCGUUUCCCGCAGCGUUUCCUGCAGUCUUCACCGCCACUUGGACCUGUUUCCCGCGGCGUUUCCCACGGUGUUUCCCGUGGUCUCCGCUGCUGCUUGGACCCAUUUCCCACGGCGUUUCCUGCAGUGUUUCCUGUGGUCUCCGCCGCCACUCGGAUCCGUUUCCUGCAGCACUUCCCGUGGCGUUUCCCGCAGUCUCCACCGCUGCUUGGAUUCAUUUCCCAUGGCGUUUCCUGCAGCGUUUCUCGCAGUCUCCACUGCCGCUCAGACCCGUUUCCCGCGGCGUUUCCUGCAGCGCUUCCUGCAGCGUUUCCCAUGGUCCCUGCCACUGCUCAGACCUGUUUCUCGCAGCAUUUCCCGCGAUGUUUCCUGCGGCGUUUCCCAUGGCAUUUCCUGCAGCGUUUCCCACAGUCCCCACCACUGCUUGGACCCGUUUCCCACGGCGUUUCCUGCUGCGUUUCCCAUGGCCUCCACCACUGUUCGGACUUGUUUCUCAUGGCAUUUCUCGCGGCGUUUGCUGCAGCGUUUCCUGUGGCGUUUCCCGUGGUCCCUGCCACUGCUUGGACCCGUUUCCUGCGGCAUUUCCCACGGCGUUUCCCGCGGCAUUUCCUGCAGCAUUUCCUGCAGCGUUUCCUGCGGUUUCCGCUGCUGCUUGGACAUGUUUCCCACGGCAUUUCCUGCAGCUUUCCUGCAGCAUUUCCUGCGGUCUCCACUGCUGCUCAGACUUGUUUCCCACGGCGUUUCCUGCAGCGUUUCCCACGGUCUCCACUGCUGCUCGGACCCGUUUCCCACGGCGUUUCCCACGGCGUUUCCCACGGUCCCCGCCGCCGCUCAGGACCCGUUUCCCGCGGCUUCGGGCCGCCCCGGCUCCGGAAAAAGCACCGUGGCGGCGGGGGCGACGGCCGUCGGCUUGGCUGGGGCGAGCUCCACCGCGAGCUGGGGCUACUGUAUCUGUAAGAAAAGAUUCCUCAAGUUGCAGAAUUCGUAAUUCAGUUCGUUGGAAAACCCUGGCGUCGGAGCGCGCGCACGCUCCCAGGUGGCCGUCGAGCCGGGAUUCCCACCAGCCGGCACGCGCGCGAGCUGUACAGGUUCGUCCAUCUCCUUGUAAGCUGGUUUGGUGUUCUGGGUUGGUUUUUUUUUUGUUUGCUUGCUUGGUUUUUUUUUGUUAUUUUUAGAUCCGCUCCGUUGUCGUCGUUAACGAUUAAAAAAAAAAAAAAUCCAAUAAAUACAUAUUUUAAAUGGAAUUAAAAACCUCU